rnacentral:tRNA from 1 species
AGCUCAGUGAGAGAGCACUUGCCUAGUGUGCAUGAGGCCCUGGGUUCAACCCCCAG